rnacentral:misc_RNA from 1 species
GGACUCAAUUUUUUUUUUAAUAGAGGAUUGUUGAUCAGGUUAUCCAUGUUCUUUUAAAAGAUUUCUUGUGAGAAAUGAUUAGCUAAUGUCCAUUUCUUUUUCUUUGUAUUCUUUCUUGUUUGUUCCAUUCAAUGUGCCAAAUGCAGUGUUGCUAUAUCAUAGAUAAUUAAAAUAUUAAAAAUCAUGACAGCUCUCUGUUCCCCCCUAUAUGUAGCAAUCAUGUCUGCUUUUGAUAAAAAUUAGAUCACAAAAUUACAACCAUACAGAUAUGCAUUCCACUUUUCCUGCUCAAUCACGAUGUGCGUGUGUGUGUUUGCAUGUGUCUCAUCACUUCUGUCAUUUUGAUUGUGCUUUUUGCAGCAGAGAAAUUUAGUGUUCUAUUUGAUUCUUCUUUUUGCUGUUUAUUGCAUUGCCACUGUAUCAUCCUCAUUCUUCUUGUGUUAUCUUUAUUAAUGGUGUUUGACCAAUGAUUUGGAAUGUUGCAGGUUGGGUUUGUGACAUUUUUCCU